GGCUUCGUAGUUCAGCUGGUAGAACCCUUGCCGCGUUGAGGCAUGUGUUUCUGUCACUGGUUCGAAUCCAUCCGAAGCCC
rnacentral:tRNA from 1 species